UACGUAGGGGGCUAGCGUUGUCCGGAUUUAUUGGGCGUAAAGAGCGUGUAGGCGGCCAGGUAGGUCUGCUGUGAAAACUCGAGGCUCAACCUCGAGACGUCGGCGGAAACCAUCUGGCUAGAGUCCGGAAGAGGAGAGUGGAAUUCCAGGUGUAGCGGUGAAAUGCGCAGAUAUCAGGAAGAACACCCGUGGCGAAGGCGACACUCUGGGCCGGUACUGACGCUGAGGAGCGAAAGCGUGGGGAGCAAACAGG
rnacentral:rRNA from 1 species